GGAGCCGUGGUGCAGCGGUGAGCAUACUGGCCUGUCAAGCCAGAGAUCGCGGGUUCAAAUCCCGUCGGCUCCGCCA
rnacentral:tRNA from 1 species